rnacentral:rRNA from 1 species
UGGGGAAUUUUCCGCAAUGGGCGAAAGCCUGACGGAGCGACGCUGCGUGAAGGAUGACGGCCUGCGGGUUGUAAACUUCUUUUCUCGAAGAAGAAUAAAUGACGGUAUUCGAGGAAUAAGCAUCGGCUAACUCUGUGCCAGCAGCCGCGGUAAGACAGAGGAUGCAAGUGUUAUUCGGAUUGAUUGGGCGUAAAGCGUCUGUAGGCGGUUUGGAAAGUCUUUUGUGAAAUUCUUCAGCUCAACUGGGGGUCCGCAAAAGAAACUUCUAGGCUUGAGGGAAGUAGAGGUACAGGGAAUUUCCGGUGGAGCGGUGAAAUGCGUAGAUAUCGGAAGGAACACCAAUAUGGCGAAGGCACUGUACUGGGCUUUACCUGACGCUAAGAGACGAAAGCUAAAGGAGUGAUUAGGAUUAGAUACCCUAGUAAUUUUAGCCGUAAACGAUGGAAACUCACUGCCGAGCCGGUAUUCGGAGCGGUGGUCAAGCUAACGCGUGAAGUUUCCCGCCUGGGGACUACGCAUGCAAAUGUG